GACGAACGCUGGCGGCGUGCCUAAUACAUGCAAGUAGAACGCAGUUGCGAACGGGUGAGUAACGCUUAGGUAACUGCCUCAUCGCGCGGGAUAACUAUUGGAAACGAUAGCUAAUACCUCAUACUUCGAGAUUGACCUGCGUUGUAUUAGCUAGUUGGUGAGGUAAAGGAUCACCAAGGCGACGAUACAUAGCCGAACUGAGAGGGUGGUCCGCCACACCGGGGCUGGGAACCGGCCCCGAACUCGACGGGAGGACGCCGGAAGGAAACUUCCGGAAUGGACGGAAGUCUUACCGAGCAAAGCCGCGGUAGUGAAGAAGGUUUUCGGGUCGUAAAGCUCUGUUGUUAAGGAAGCGGUAACUAACCAGAAAGGGACGGCUAACUACGUGCCAGCAGCCGCGGUAAUAC
rnacentral:rRNA from 1 species